rnacentral:misc_RNA from 1 species
UCUCCGUUGGUGAACCAGCGGAGGGAUCAUUACAGAGUUUUUAACUCCCAAACCCAUGUGAACCUACUAUUUUGUUGCCUCGGCGGGUUCUGCCUCCCAUCUCGGGAGCAGGCUCAAGCCCGCCGGCGGCCCCACCAAACUCUUGUUUUUAGUGUCUCUUCUGAGUUAAACAAACAAAUGAAUCAAAACUUUCAACAACGGAUCUCUUGGUUCUGGCAUCGAUGAAGAACGCAGC